rnacentral:rRNA from 1 species
GACGAACGCUGGCGGCGUGCUUAACACAUGCAAGUCGAACGGGCCCGCUCUCUUUUUUGGGGGUGGGUUGAGUGGCGAACGGGUGAGUAUCACGUGAGUAACCUGCCCCCUGCUCCUGGAUAACUGCUUGAAAGGGCGGCUAAUACGGGGUGUGCCGGCUGGUCCGCAUGGGCCUGGUCGGGAUAGUUUCAUCUUCGGGUGUUUCGGUGGGGGAUGGGCUCGCGGCCUAUCAGCUUGUUGGUGGGGUGAUGGCCCACCAAGGCGGUGACGGGUAGCCGGCCUGAGAGGGUGGGCGGCCCCACUGGGACUGAGCCCCGGCCCAGCCUCCUGCGGGAGGCAGCAGUGGGGGGUAUUGCACAAUGGGCGGAAGCCUGAUGCAGCGCCGUCGCGUGAGGGAUGGAGGCCUUCGGGUUGUGAACCUCUUUCUCCGGUGGUGAAGGCCCUGUCCGUUGCGGCGGGGUUGACGGUAGCCGGGGAUGAAGCGCCGGCUAACUACGUG